rnacentral:misc_RNA from 1 species
UUCCUUAAGCUACAAAUCGAUCUUUUAAUACAUUAAACUAGAGCUCCCAAGUAAGUUUCAGGUUUUCUCAAGAAUAUAGCCAGUGGAAUAACAGCGGUAUGGUACCGCAAAGUGCCUAAUCUGCACGAGAUUGGCCGGCACGGGAUGAGAGGAUGAUGCCCACAAUGAGACCAUACAGGGCAAGCGCUUCUGCGAAAAUGAGGAUGAGGAUCAUGCCCACGAAAAGCUUUGGUUGCUG